UACGUAGGGUGCAAGCGUUUAAUCGGAAUUACUGGGCGUAAAGCGUGCGCAGGCGGUUUUGUAAGUCUGUCGUGAAAUCCCCGGGCUCAACCUGGGAAUGGCGAUGGAGACUGCAAGGCUAGAAUCUGGCAGAGGGGGGGUAGAAUUCCACGUGUAGCAGUGAAAUGCGUAGAUAUGUGGAGGAACACCGAUGGCGAAGGCAGCCCCCUGGGCUAAGAUUGACGCUCAUGCACGAAAGCGUGGGGAGCAAACAGG
rnacentral:rRNA from 1 species